UGAGGAUAGAUGCACCUGCUCUGAACAAACUGUCACAGCCAUUGAGCUGUUGUACCAAGCCGUACAGUUUUUACAACUUUGCGGUUUGGUUUGUUUGGCACUUUCUCCAAAAUCCAGCUCUGCCUAUUUUCCUUCUGUGGUAUAUCUUUUGAUAAUUACAAAAUCAUGAUCCUAAGAAAGUGUGUGUUUCAAAUGCAAACCCAACAGUGUCACUUAUCACGUCGCAAAAACCAGUGUUUCUUUGGAACCAACUAGUAUAGUUCAUAAAAAACCGCAGUGUUCAGGUUAGUCAUCGAGUUGGUCACCCAUGGCACCCGCAAAAAACAAAAGAUUGGCCACCCAUGGCGCGGUACUUCCAUGGUUAGUCAAGCUAUCGUCUACGGGAGGGCAACACAAUGGAACGAUAGCUUGUAAGUUGGUCCAUCGGUUGGUGAACAUAUUGUUGUUUUUAUCCUGUGGGCGUACACCACAGAGCGCUGAAAGAGACGGCCCAUCAAAGUUGAUGUUAAAAACAUUAUAUGCAAGGCUUUUGCGUGUCUAUCGUUUAUGUCGCUGUUUUACACAUCUCUACUACUGGUAUUAAUUUAUUCUCGCGACAAAGACAUGCCCAAUACUAUCCCAGUAGUAGCAGCCUGGGAAUUCCUGACCACUUAAUCAGGUAGGGGUAUAGUGGCCCAGAGAUUCGACAUAUCCAGCUUGCCAAUGGGAGGGAUGGGUCUCUGCAAGCAGUUGUUAAAUGAACACCUGACCUACAAAACUAGAUUUCGCGGUGCUGCUAGACCAACAACCUCGAAUGACACGACAGUUGAGAGAUUAGUUAUUUUUAGGCUGGAUAAAAAAUCAGCACUGAAAGCAAGGCUUGGAAUACGCAUUUCUGAAAACUGGGAGCCUUUUUCGUACACAACAACUUUCACAUGUGUGUUGGCGCAGCCUACUGGCUGAACAUCUGAACGGUGAUCUGCAGGGUGUAUCUUUAGUUGUAAAUUUGAGUUAAAACUGAGGAGAGAGGGGGUUUGCAUUGGCAUUGUUCGGCGGGUUUGAUUGAUCAUGUGAAUUAUGUGGUAGCGUCAAACUUAUAUAUGCUGGUAAUGAAAAUUUGGGACAUGUUGUGGAUGUAAGGAUGGAGAUGGAGCAAAGAAAGAGAUGUCAAGAUGCGGUACUGCCGUGUCAUAUCGUACAGUACAGUACAUUGAAGUCAGCGAUGAAGAAAAUACAGAAGGCUUCUCUUCUACACGGCACCAAGGGAGUACAAAAUAUGCAAAAAGGUAGGCUGUCGGUCAAAUUGGACCCUAAGUCUGAUGGAGGAGUCUUGCUAUGAGACAUAUAUGUCAACUAUCAAUACGGCUGUCCUUGGAACAUUUUGGCUUGGAAAUAUCGUCUUGUUUUACUUAUCUAUCACUCGAGUAGUCUGAGGCGAUGCCUACCUCGAUGUUGCUAUCAUAAUUGAUUUCCUCACAUCCAACGGACCAGGUUUGAUGGCUGGUGAGGAUCGAGAGUCCAUGGAGCGCGGAGCCAAGAUGCUGAGAUCGAAUGCCUCAACGAUGAUGAGGAUUUGUGCACCUCCAUCGACGACGAACUGAUUCUACUCCACCAAGGCAAAAAAGCUUCGAGACUGUGUUUACCCGUUUGGUGGAUCGCA